GACUGAAUGUAUGCCUCUGUUAUCUGGGCGGGCUCCCAAUUUCAACACUUGAAAUAAAAAGACUAAAUGUAUGCCUCUGUUAUCUGGGCGGGCUCCCAAUUUCAGCACUUAAAAUAAAAGACGGAAUGUAUGCCUCUAUUAUCUGGGCGGGCUCCCAACUUCAACACUUAGAAGUAAAGUGAAAUGUAUUUCUCUCGUUAUACAGGUGGGUGCCUGGCUACAUGAAAUGCAAAUACUGAAAUGUAUUCCUCUCGUUAUUCAGGUGGGCGCCUGGUGGUAAAGAUAUGAAAAAUGAUAUGCCCGCAUUAUACUGGUGGGUGACCUAGAAUAGAAAUGAAGAAACAGAAAUGUAUUCCCGCAUUAUACUGGUGGGUGACCUAGAACAGAAAUGAAAAGACAAAAAUGUAUUCCUCUCGUUAUUCAGGUGGGCGCCUGUCUUCAACAAUAACUUUGAAAAUAAGAUCCUAUUUGAGGGCGGAUGAACCCGACAUAUCCUAUUUGAGGGCGGAUGACCCCAACAUAUCCU
rnacentral:lncRNA from 1 species